ACAUAUCUAUUAAUCUGUAUGAAUUAUCGAUAUUUUUUUUGUUACGUGACAAGUUUUUUUUUUUAUCCUCACCAGCGUUUUUUGUUUUUCCUUCUCUACUAAAUGUUUAAUUAAUGCAUCUAAAUGGUCUUCACUAUAAUAGAAUUAGAUUAUAGGAACACAUGUUUGGGACACUUUUAUGUAAGUGUCUCAUUUAUACCAAAAUUUUUUAAAAAAAUUUACUAAUGACUAAGUAUAAAGCACAAUCCAACCAAAAAUAAAAUGUUACUCUACUCAACCCAUCCCAUCCAGCCCAUUCGGCCCGAUGACAAACAGAAAAAAAAAGAAAAAGAAAAAUUGAUUACUAUCUCCCUUCUUCCCUCACGCAAUCCACUGAAAUUCUAGACGAAGAUCCCUUCCCUCUCGUCCUCCUCCGCUACCGCAGCCAACGAGGUAGAGUUUCGGUGGUUGGUAAAUGCUUAAAUAAGUAUUGGUAAAUUAACAACACUCUUUUUAGCUUAUAGCGACACUUUUUAACUCUUUAACUCUUUAACUCUUUAACUGUCACUAUAUACCUAGCGACUCCACAUUUGAUAACACUUUUUGAAAGCGUCGGUAAUUUAGCCAGCAGCACUUUUUUUAACCUGUACCGAUAUUUAAAAGUGUCACUAUAGACCGUUUUUGUUGUAGUGUCUCAUUACUCUAGUACUAAAUUUUCAAUUAAUACAUCUAAAUAGUUCCACAGUCACUUAUAAUUUUCACUUUUCCAUCUCCAAUUAAUUCAUCAUAACUCUUUUCCUUUCCUCUAUUAGAUUUUUAAUUAAUACAUCCAAACGGUUCCAAAUGAUACGCUGACAUCUACAAUUCUUACCUUUUUAUCUCAAAUUAAUUCAUUAAUUAACUCUCCCUCAGCUUUUCCUGUAUACAGUCACCUCCCUCCCACUUCCUCACUAAUGCGAGCCCACCUCCCCCUU
rnacentral:lncRNA from 1 species